rnacentral:rRNA from 1 species
AUUGAACGCUGGCGGCAGGCCUAACACAUGCAAGUCGAGCGGAUGAAGGGAGCUUGCUCCUGGAUUCAGCGGCGGACGGGUGAGUAAUGCCUAGGAAUCUGCCUGGUAGUGGGGGAUAACGUCCGGAAACGGGCGCUAAUACCGCAUACGUCCUGAGGGAGAAAGUGGGGGAUCUUCGGACCUCACGCUAUCAGAUGAGCCUAGGUCGGAUUAGCUAGUUGGUGGGGUAAAGGCCUACCAAGGCGACGAUCCGUAACUGGUCUGAGAGGGUGAUCAGUCACACUGGAACUGAGACACGGUCCAGACUCCUACGGGAGGCAGCAGUGGGGAAUAUUGGACAAUGGGCGAAAGCCUGAUCCAGCCAUGCCGCGUGUGUGAAGAAGGUCUUCGGAUUGUAAAGCACCUUAAGUUGGGAGGAAGGGCAGUAAGUUAAUACCUUGCUGUUUUGACGUUACCAACAGAAUAAGCACCGGCUAACUUCGUG